rnacentral:lncRNA from 1 species
UCCCUCGGCCUCUCUUAUGAUGGCAUACUGGGUGAUGAGCAGAGCAUGCCCAAGUCUGGCCUCCUGAUAAUAGUCCUGGGUGUGAUCUUCAUGGAGGGGAACUGCGUCCCAUGGAGGUUAUGUGGGAAGUCCUCAGCAUUAUGGGGGUGUAUGCUGGAAGGGAGCACUUCCUCUUUGGGGAGCCCAAGAAGCUCCUCACCCAAGAUUGGGUGCAGGAAAAGUACCUGGUGUACCGGCAAGUGCCUGGCAGUGAUCCUGCAUGCUAUGAGUUCCUG